UACAGGGAGUGCAAACGUUGCUCGGAAUCAUUGGGCGUAAAGCGCGCGUAGGCGGUUCGGUAUGUCGGAUGUGAAAGCCCUUGGCUUAACCGAGGAAGUGCAUCCGAAACUGGCGAGCUAGAGUACGAAAGAGGAUCGCGGAAUUCCCGGUGUAGAGGUGAAAUUCGUAGAUAUCGGGAGGAACACCGGUGGCGAAGGCGGCGAUCUGGGUCGAUACUGACGCUGAGGUGCGAAAGCGUGGGGAGCAAACAGG
rnacentral:rRNA from 1 species